AUGCAUUUACAGAUCCAGAGAAACUUAAAUAAUACGAAGAGUAUGUCACGUAAACUAAACUUUAUCAAUCUGUGUCUGGUGUCGUUCUUAUGGAUGUGGCUAAUUGCUGGUGGAAUGGCUAUAGCAUUUGAUAAUAGAGGCCCCGGCCAUUGGCCGUGCGCAGAACAGAAUGGACAAUGCAUUGAUUCUUGCAGUUUUAAAUUAAAGAGAUAUUCCACUGACUGUGGUGAUCGGAAAUGGUGCUGUGUUUCGCCUUAGAUUGCUUAUCUAUGGAAUUGUAAUACCAUCAGCAAUAAAAAAUAAUAUAACAUAAUUACACUCCAAAAGUGUAAUUUGAGUGAAUAACUGCUUUGCUUUGAUUUUGAAUUUAGCUUAUGCGCAUUCUAAGCAUUCUUGUGUAUAUAUUUUUAUUUGUUUGGAACGUAAUUUGUAUAUUUUCAAAAGUGAUGUUCUAAUUUAAUUUGAAGUGAAAUUAAUAAAAUAAACAUUUUAAAGACUAAUUUCAUAUCUACAUUCUAUACGUCGAUGUUGUGAAAGUGUAAAAGUUUGCUAAUAACAUAAAUUUGAAUUGCAGCCGAAUAGGUGAAAAAGGUUUAAUACAGUUUAAUAAUCAACAUUUCUGUCAAACGAUUCAUAAUAUUGUUGUCGUUGUUUCCAUUACUAAUGUGGCAAGAAAGUAAUGUUAAAAUGCGUAUAUAAUGCAGUUAAGAUAGUCUCGGUAUAUGCUAUAUAAGCUCGGUUAUACUUUUUAAACACUCAUAGUCCAGAGAAACUUAAAUAAUACGAAGAGUAUGUCACGUAAACUAAACUUUAUCAAUCUGUGUCUGGUGUCCUUCUUAUGGAUGUGGCUAAUUGCUGGUGGAAUGGCUAUAGCAUUUACUCGUAGAGGCCACUUCCAUUGGCCGUGCGCAGAACAGAAUGGACAAUGCAUUGAUUCUUGCAGUUUUAAAUUAAAGAGAUAUUCCACUGACUGUGGUGAUCGGAAAUGGUGCUGUGUUUCGCCUUAGAUUGCUUAUCUAUGGAAUUGUAAUACCAUCAGCAAUAAAAAAUAAUAUAACAUAAUUACACUCCAAAAGUGUAAUUUGAGUGAAUAACUGCUUUGCUUUGAUUUUGAUUUUAGCUUAUGCGCAUUCUAAGCUUUCUUGUGUAUAUCUUUUUAUUUGUUUGGAACAUAAUUUGUAUAUAUGUUUAUAUGUAUAUAAAAGUGAUGUUCUAAUUUAAAUUGAAGUGCAAUUAAUAAAAUAAAAAUUGAUGUUAAUAAUCGCAUCUCUACAUUCUGCACUCCGAUGUUGCUUCAGCGAGAAGUGACGAUAACUAAAAUACAGACAGAGAGAAACUUAAUUAAUACGAGAAGUAUGCCAUCCAAACUAAAAUUGAUAAACCUGUGGAUUGUGAUAUUGCUAAUUGCCUGCGGAAAUGCGAAAUCCAGGAAACUAACGUGCGCAGAACAGCAAGGAGAAUGUAUGGAUUUUUGCAUUGUAAAAUUGCAGAGAUAUUCCACUGACUGCCGUAAUGGGAAAAUAUGCUGUGUUUUGGUUUAGAUUGCUCUUUUAUGAAAUUGUGAUACUAUCAGUAAUAAAAAAUAAUAUAACAUAA